GACGAACGCUGGCGGCGUGCUUAACACAUGCAAGUCGAACGGAAAGGCCCUGCUUUUGUGGGGUGCUCGAGUGGCGAACGGGUGAGUAACACGUGAGUAACCUGCCCUUGACUUUGGGAUAACUUCAGGAAACUGGGGCUAAUACCGGAUAGGAGCUCCUGCUGCAUGGUGGGGGUUGGAAAGCUUCGGCGGUUGGGGAUGGACUCGCGGCUUAUCAGCUUGUUGGUGGGGUAGUGGCUUACCAAGGCUUUGACGGGUAGCCGGCCUGAGAGGGUGACCGGCCACAUUGGGACUGAGGUACGGCCCAGACUCCUACGGGAGGCAGCGGUGGGGAAUAUUGCACAAUGGGCGGAAGCCUGAUGCAGCAACGCCGCGUGCGGGAUGACGGCCUUCGGGUUGUAAACCGCUUUCGCCUGUGACGAAGCGUGAGUGACGGUAAUGGGUAAAGAAGCACCGGCUAACUACGUG
rnacentral:rRNA from 1 species